rnacentral:sRNA from 1 species
GCCAGGUGUGGUAGUGCUCACCUGUAAUCUCAGCAGCUCGGAAGGCUGAGGCAGGAGGAUCCCGAUUUCAAAGGCAGCCUCAGCAAAAGCUAGGCACUAAGCAACUCAGUGAGACCCUGUCUCUA